AGACACCAACCAUCUCUCUUUUUCUAUUCAAUAAAACAGUAAUGUUUUAUCGUUGAAAUAAAAAAUAUGCAACUUUUCUCCAUCCCCCCCCCAACCCCAAGCAUCCAGGUGUGGACCUGCCGUGGGACUUUUCCGCUUCUGUAAAUGCGAGAACCAGCUCCCAUGAUAAACCCCUGCUCGUCUAGCUCYCUACCUACGUGUGUCCUAUUGGUCCUGCUUCUCUGGAGACAGGUUCCUGUCCCACUGCCUGUCUUGGCUUCAUAGGAAGUGUCCCGGGACCAGAGAGCCUGGGGCCCAGCCUCUGCCUUGACGGCACUCCCAYGGCCGCCCAUGGUUACCCGAGUUCUUUGGCUCCUACCAUCCUCCUGCUUCUGGAAGGGGUUGUGACCUUGGGCCAAACAGCGCUCCUCAGCUGYAUUUCUGGAAGUGAGUUGGCAGCUGAAGGCUGUCUGCUGGCGACACUUGCAGCAGCUGGGGUAGUAAAUCCUUCAGCUGUGAAGAGGGACCUGGGAGGGGAAUCCCGAGCUCGAGAGCACUUKCGGGCAGGUCUUGGUGUUUGUAUUUCCGUCCCAUGUGUUCAUGGGAAAGGGACCGUUCACUCAUCUCAGGACUGCUGACUCCUUUGGAGAGGAUUUUCUGAGCUUUCCUGUCUGCCUUCACUUCCUCUUGGACUCCCCCUCCCUACCUGUGAAACUUCCCCUUCAGACGGUCAGAGGAGAUGGAGAACAGGAAAAUGCAAACCAGGCCUUAGCCGACUGUCGCCGACUGUGACCCGAGGCUUGGCCAGGAGGGAACUGGUAGCUGCCAUCUAGGUCAAGUUGAUUUCCAACAGCCUUUCGCUCCUGUUUCCUUGGAUAAAACCUCGAGUUGGCCACGUGGAUAGUCACAGUGUCAUCUUAGGACCUCUCCUAGCAUGGGGCUUACCAAGUCAUAAAAACACUCUUGCAGCCCGUGACAGUACCUUUGCCACCUAUCUCUCCACUCUGCCCGUCAGCAGUCCCAAAGGAGAAUCCAGACAACACAAAACCCACUUGAGUGGACACAGCGUCUUCACGGACUCUCCAUGGAAUCCCUGCCCCAGGGCUGGCUCCUCCUCUGUUAUGGUAACAUAUGGAUGAAAAACAGCCUGGCCAAUCUUCCAGAACUCUCCGGCGCUACAGAAGCUGGGAAGCCAGCCCAGGGAGGGCUCAG
rnacentral:lncRNA from 1 species